GACUCCUACGGGAGGCAGCAGUGGGGAAUAUUGCACAAUGGGCGCAAGCCUGAUGCAGCCAUGCCGCGUGUAUGAAGAAGGCCUUCGGGUUGUAAAGUACUUUCAGCGGGGAGGAAGGCGACGGGGGUUUUAAACCCGCCGAUUGACGUUACCCGCAGAAGAAGCACCGGCUAACUCCGUGCCAGCAGCCGCGGUAAUACGGAGGGUGCAAGCGUUAAUCGGAAUUACUGGGCGUAAAGCGCACGCAGGCGGUCUGUUAAGUCAGAUGUGAAAUCCCCGGGCUUAACCUGGGAACUGCAUUUGAAACUGGCAGGCUUGAGUCUUGUAGAGGGGGGUAGAAUUCCAGGUGUAGCGGUGAAAUGCGUAGAGAUCUGGAGGAAUACCGGUGGCGAAGGCGGCCCCCUGGACAAAGACUGACGCUNCAGGUCGAAA
rnacentral:rRNA from 1 species